AGGUAUUAUUGAUGAGAUUAAUGGGAUUAUUGAUGGGAUUAUUGAUAAUUUUGAUGGGAUUAUUGAUACAAUUGAUGAGUUUGAUGUAAUUAUUGAUCGCUUGAAGGCGGUACUGAUGGGAUUAAUGGGAUCAUUAAUAGCUGUGAUGGAAUUAUUGAUAGAAUUGAUGAGUUUAAUGGGAUUAUUGAUCACUUGAAGGCAUUAUUGAUGGGAUUAAUGGGAUUAUUGAUAGGUUUGAUGGGAUUAUUGAUAGAAUUGAUGGGUUUAAUAGGAUUAUUGAUCGCUUGAAGGCAUUAUUGAUGGGAUUAUUGAUAGCUUUGAUGGGAUUAUUGAUAGAGUUCAUGGGUUUGAUGGGAUUAUUGAUCGCUUGCAGGCAUUAUUGAUGGGAUUAAUGAGAUUACUGAUGGGAUUAUUGAUAGCUUUGAUGGGAUUAUUGAUACAAUUGAUGUGUUUGAUGGGAUUAUUGAUCACUUGCUGACAUUAUUGGUGGGAUUAAUGGGAUUAUUGAUCGCUUGCUGACAUUAUUGAU
ensembl:lncRNA